rnacentral:pre_miRNA from 1 species
UUAUCGAUAACGUAAAAGUUGGAACGCUUGCCUACGUUUGCCGCUAGGGACGCUGUUCCAACUGCAUACAAAUUUGAGUUA